UACGAAGGAUCCAAGCGUUGUCCGGAUUUACUGGGUUUAAAGGGCGUGUAGGCGGACGUGUAAGUCGGGCGUGAAGUCCCUGGGCUCAACCCAGGAACUGCACUCGAAACUGCGCGUCUUGAGUACCGGAGAGGAAGGUGGAAUUCCUGGUGUAGAGGUGAAAUUCGUAGAUAUCUGGAGGAAUACCGGUGGCGAAGGCGGCAUCCUGGACCGGCAUUGACGCUGAGGAGCGAAAGCCAGGGGAGCAAACGGG
rnacentral:rRNA from 1 species